GAAAGAAUCAAAACUAAAGAAGAAAAUACCAAAAAAGCAAAAAAGCACAAGGGAGAAGAAAAUUUAUUAUCUCACAUACACAACCCAAAAAAUCACCUUAAAACAUACUUAUUACUACUCUGUUGUUCCAUUUUUCGAAUUGAAAUUUUCAUCACCGGUGGUGGUGAAAAUGAGAGGAGCGACGAGCUCUGGUGGUUCUGGUGAUGGUGGCAUGGCCGAUUCUGCUUCUGCUAAAAGGAAUUCCAGGAAACCCCAAUAUUCUAGGUUCACACAACAAGAGCUUCCUGCCUGCAAACCAAUUUUAACGCCAGGAUGGGUCAUUGCCACAUUCGUUGGUGUUGGCAUUAUUUUCAUUCCUAUUGGUCUCAUUGCCCUGUUUGCAUCAGAGCAUGUGGUGGAAAUUGUUGAUCGAUAUGACAAAGAUUGCAUUCCUCCCAACUAUUCAAAUGAUAGCCUCCAAUACAUUCAGAGCAGUAAAACGAACAAGACCUGUACCAGGACCUUAACUGUUCCAAAGCAAAUGAAAAGUCCUGUUUUUAUCUAUUAUGAGCUUGAUAACUUCUAUCAGAACCAUCGUCGAUACGUAAAAAGUCGAAGUGACAAGCAGUUGCGGAGCAAGGCAGGUGAGAGUGACACAGACAACUGUAAACCUGAAGCAGUCACAUCAACUAAUGCUCCAAUUGUUCCUUGUGGCCUUGUUGCAUGGAGUUUGUUCAAUGACACUUAUGGGUUUUCUCUUAAAAACAAGGCCUUAGAUGUCAGCAAAAAAAAUAUAGCAUGGAAAAGCGAC
rnacentral:misc_RNA from 1 species